rnacentral:rRNA from 1 species
GAUGUACGCUGGCGGCGUGCCUAAUACAUGCAAGUCGAGCGAACAGAUAAGGAGCUUGCUCCUUUGACGUUAGCGGCGGACGGGUGAGUAACACGUGGAUAACCUACCUAUAAGACUGGGAUAACUUCGGGAAACCGGAGCUAAUACCGGAUAACAUAUUGAACCGCAUGGUUCAAUAGUGAAAGGCGGCUUUGCUGUCACUUAUAGAUGGAUCCGCGCCGUAUUAGCUAGUUGGUAAGGUAACGGCUUACCAAGGCAACGAUACGUAGCCGACCUGAGAGGGUGAUCGGCCACACUGGAACUGAGACACGGUCCAGACUCCUACGGGAGGCAGCAGUAGGGAAUCUUCCGCAAUGGGCGAAAGCCUGACGGAGCAACGCCGCGUGAGUGAUGAAGGUCUUCGGAUCGUAAAACUCUGUUAUCAGGGAAGAACAAAUGUGUAAGUAACUGUGCACAUCUUGACGGUACCUGAUCAGAAAGCCACGGCUAACUACGUG